rnacentral:rRNA from 2 species
AACUUUCAACAACGGAUCUCUAGGCUCUCGCAUCGAUGAAGAACGCAGCGAAAUGCGAUAAGUAAUGUGAAUUGCAGAAUUCAGUGAAUCAUCGAAUCUUUGAACGCACCUUGCGCCCCUUGGUAUUCCGAGGGGCAUGCCUGUUUGAGUGUCG